UAACCUACCCAUCAGAGGGGGAUAACACUUGGAAACAAGUGCUAAUACCGCAUAACAGUUUAUGCCGCAUGGCAUAAGAGUGAAAGGCGCUUUCGGGUGUCGCUGAUGGAUGGACCCGCGGUGCAUUAGCUAGUUGGUGAGGUAACGGCUCACCAAGGCCACGAUGCAUAGCCGACCUGAGAGGGUGAUCGGCCACACUGGGACUGAGACACGGCCCAG
rnacentral:rRNA from 1 species